rnacentral:tRNA from 1 species
UCCCUGGAGGACUAGUGGUUAGGCUACAGCGCUCUCACUGCUGUGGCCCGGGUUCAAUUCCCUUUCAGGGAA